rnacentral:tRNA from 1 species
GGAGGGGUUCCCGAGUGGUUAAAGGGAGCAGACUGUAAAUCUGCCGGCUGACGCCUUCGGUGGUUCGAAUCCACCCCCCUCCACCA